rnacentral:rRNA from 1 species
GAUCAUGGCUCAGGACGAACGCUGGCGGCGCGCCUAACACAUGCAAGUCGAACGGAGCUUAAAGAGCUUGCUUUUUAAGCUUAGUGGCGAACGGGUGAGUAACGCGUGAGUAACCUGCCCUGGAGUGGGGGACAACAGUUGGAAACGACUGCUAAUACCGCAUAAGCCCACGGCCCGGCAUCGGGCUGCGGGAAAAGGAUUUAUUCGCUUCAGGAUGGACUCGCGUCCAAUUAGCUAGUUGGUGAGGUAACGG